UACGUAGGAUGCAAGCGUUGUCCGGAUUUACUGGGCGUAAAGAGCGCGCAGGCGGUGCGAUCAGUCGAAUGUGAAAGCCCCCGGCUCAACUGGGGAGGGUCAUUCGAUACUGUCGGACUCGAAGGCAGGAGAGGGAAGCGGAAUUCCCGGUGUAGUGGUGAAAUGCGUAGAUAUCGGGAGGAACACCAGUGGCGAAGGCGGCUUCCUGGCCUGUUCUUGACGCUGAGGCGCGAAAGCUAGGGGAGCAAACAGG
rnacentral:rRNA from 1 species